AACGAACGCUGGCGGCGUGCUUAACACAUGCAAGUCGAACGGUGAAGCUCCAGCUUGCUGGAGUGGAUCAGUGGCGAACGGGUGAGUAACACGUGAGCAACCUGCCCCUGACUCUGGAAUAAGCGCUGGAAACGGCGUCUAAUACUGGAUACGAGAAGGGUCCGCAUGGGCACUUUCUGGAAAGUUUUUCGGUUGGGGAUGGGCUCGCGGCCUAUCAGCUUGUUGGUGAGGUAAUGGCUCACCAAGGCGACGACGGGUAGCCGGCCUGAGAGGGCGACCGGCCACACUGGGACUGAGACACGGCCCAGACUCCUACGGGAGGCAGCAGUGGGGAAUAUUGCACAAUGGGCGAAAGCCUGAUGCAGCGACGCCGCGUGAGGGAUGACGGCCUUCGGGUUGUAAACCUCUUUCAGCAGGGAAGAAGCGAAAGUGACAGUACCUGCAGAAGAAGCACCGGCUAACUACGUG
rnacentral:rRNA from 1 species